GGAGUUCUUACCUGUGCUUUUAUCUUCAGUCCAGAUUAUGUCUUGUAUUACGGAAAUCAUUCAAUUUUUCACCAGAGAAUAAGGAUGACUACAAUUCAAAAGGCUGACCUAUCCAGGUGAAGAUGAGAGUGUGCAGCAUUGGAAAUUCUUACACAUUGCUGGAGAUUUAGAAGCUAAAGAAAGAGGACAAAUGAUUUGGAAGCAAAGAUAAGAAGGAAGAAGGACAGGAACCAGAAUCAACAUAACCUACGAGACUUUGAUUAGAAUCUAACAGGUACCUGAGUGCCUUUUGUAAGUAAAUGGCUCUAGUUGCUCAAUUGGCCACUGCUCUGCCACCAGGAUCCCUAGAAGAGACCAGAUAAACCUGAAGCACGUAGCUAAUCACUUCCAUGCCGUGAUGGAAUGCAGUGCUGUCUGCCAACAAGUUUGAGCCAGUCUUUCAAGAUGCAUCCUGAGUGGCUAACUGGGCCUGCAUUUCAAGUUGAGCCAAGGGACCAUUUGCUAACGAGGGGACACACACAUGUUCUGAGUUCACCCAAAACACAUACCUUAUUAUUUUGGGGCUUUUCAGCCCACCUGCCUCUGCUAAUCAGGGCUCAGCUGUAUUGACCCAUUAGAACUCAGCUGGGUUGACCAAUCAGAACUAAGUGAGUUUGGAGUUUUAAUUCUCAAUUGAAUGAACAGACCUGAUUGGGAACCUGCGUGGGAACUUUGGCUAUUAAACCUGAGCAUUCUUUCUGUUCUCUGGAAGAAAUAAUGUUUAAGUUGCUAACACUUUAUGCAUUUUCCUAAAAUUGAAUCAAACAACUCCUUUUGAAACAUAACCCUGAUAUCAGGGAAGUCGUACAACACCGUGCUAAAUAAUUUUAUACCUCUAACCAAGGUCUGUGCCCUAAUCAGCAGGAAGUGCCAGAGUGUCUGUCACCCAUUCUCCCUCAAGAUUGAGAAAUGAACAAUGAAAAAAGGGGGAUUUGAAAAUGCAGAACCAGCCCAAUGUGGUUCAAGUUUGUGUAAUAAAAUAAUGCGUUGUUUUACUGUUGCCACGGUCUCCUGGUUUCAAGUUAUGUUACCUGAGCAUGCCCAGACACACUCUGCAUGCAACCACGGUGGAACCUAAGUACUUGGACCAAGGAGCAGGGCUGAUUUAAGAAGGAGACACCUCAGGGCUUAAUCUGUGAUCUGAUCAGAUCCAGCCCUGACAUCACCUCAUGGCACGAUGCAGUCAGAUCUUACCUCAUUACCCUCUGUCUAUAAAACCUGCCCCAACCCCCAGAUCUGAGAGACAAAUUUUUAGAUAUGCUUUCCCCCAUCUCCUUCCUAGUUGAAUAAAAAUAAACCUUUCCCUCUACAAAACCCUUGUGCUUCCUUGUUUGGCUUUCCAUUGCAAUCAGGCAAACGGCCUGCAUUGCUUUAGGUAACUGACACUCCCAAGACUCAAGGAGCUGCCGCGCAGCACUAUUUUGAAAGCCCAGCCCCCAUCAGACUGUAUCUUGCUCUGGGGCCCAACAGCCCCAGCAUCUCCACUUCCCUGGAGCCCUGCGGACAUCUCUUCAUUUCCACCCAGAGGGCUGCAACUUUGUCCCGUGGGCUGAAUCCAGUGGUGCAGUAAGGAACAGGCAGUGCACCACACCAGGGAGACUGCCCCCAGGACAAAGGGAGCCCAAAUGCACACUCCUCAGUUUCUGAAAGCCACUUGCCCGGGGCCACUGCCACCGACAGCAACCCUCUCAACUUUCCACCCGAAGCAGGGCCACCAAGCAUCUGCAUGUGCCUCCCAUGGUCCUGGAGCUGGUCUGCCCAGACGCAGUUCUGUGUCCUGAGGACAGGCUCUCACACCACCCGUCACGCAAACAUGGUGCCCAGGGCCUGGGGAUCAUGCUGCCUCAACUGUAGCUGCGGGCGUGUGCCCACAACAUCAGGAAGUGUGACAGCAGGCCCAGGUCACCUGCCACUGGCACCCAAGCAUGCCAUCCAGGAGCUUGGUGAUUGUUCGGCCACACUCGCCAUAGCCUGCACCCUUGCACGCCAUUGGAGGGCCUAAGGACGGGAAAGCAACAUGCCUCCCUGGAGAGAGCUUGAUUCUGUUCUGGCAUAUGUUAGAGAAAAGUACUAAACCAAGUCAGAUGGUUUGGAAUGUGGUCUAAUUUUUUAUUUUUUUUUAGACGGAGUCUCGCUCUGUCGCCCAGGCUGGAGUACAGUGGCGCGAUCUCGGCUCACUGCAAGCUCCGCCUCCUAGGUUCACGCCAUUCUCCUGCCUCAGCCUCCAGAGUAGCUGGGACUACAGGCGCCCGCCACAACGCCCGGCUAAUUUUUUGUAUUUUUAGUAGAGACAGGGUUUCACCGUGUUAACCAGGAUGCUCUCCAUCUCCUGACCUCAUGAUCCGUCCUCCUCGGUCUCCCAAAGUGCUGGGAUUACAGGCGUGAGCCACAGCGCCUGGCCAGAAUAUGGUCUAAAUAUUAAUACUACCAAACUGGGGAGGAAGUAACUUAAUUUUGCUGAUUUUUCAUUUUCUUAUACUUUAUUGGUUUACAAAGAAACCAUUAUUUGCUUUUAAUGGCAGAGUUAUUCUUUUCUACUGUGAAGUUACUUCAACUCAUAAAAAUGUAUUUUAUUUACACCUUUGUAGCAAUGGAGCUUGGAAGAAAAUAUAAAGCAUAUCUACAUGAACAUUUCAUCUAGUAUUCUGUGUUCUCACCUGGUCUUCUAUAAAGUUUCAGUUCAAGUGAAGAAACAGUGCUUGGCAGCACCAUGCUCUAUUGUGAAAGGAGGCAUUUGCCGUGUGAUUGGAUCACAGGUAGUUCAAGGUAACAAAAGGCCUCAAAGCAAUUAGGAAAGACAGGAUUAUUAAUGUGGAUUUAAUGGCAUUAGCUGCUUCCUUGCUUUUUUCUCACUGUGUUAUUUUGAAUAACCGCAUAGUUUUUUCAAGAUUGUAAUAUAUAUAGUCUAAUCCAUAUGAUUUUUAUACAUGUGAGUAACACAAUGCAGGUAUAUAAAACUCUGACCAAUGUUUCUGUAAAACAGAGUUCUGCAAACUAUGGCUUAUGGGUGCCAUCCUGUUAUUGAAAGUAAAAAUUGAUUGGAACAUAGCCACACCUAUUGGUUUAUGUAUUUUCUAUGGCUGUGUUUGCACUACAUGCAGAGCUGAGUAAUUCAGACAGAGACUGUAUGACCUGCAAAGCCAUAAAUCGUUACUAUCUGGUAUUUUACAGAAAAGAUUACCAGCCAUUGCCAUAAAGAGUAAAACCUUAUUUUCUGAUAAAAAUAACUGCAAAAAAGAAAAUCAGAAAUAAGAAGCCUAGUGAAAUACAUUGUAUUUUCAGUUCAAAAAUAAUUUUUAAUUGCUAUAAGAAACAUCAACCACUUUCCUAGGACUUUUCACACAUAAGACAAAG
rnacentral:lncRNA from 1 species